AUCUCAUUUGAUGAGGAAAAAACUGCAACAAUAUGAGUUUAAGAUUCAAUGAUUCGUUGUAUUUAAGUCUCUGAUGAUU